ACCCCGGGAAACUGGGGAUAAUUCCGGAUAACGCACAUAUGCUGGAAUGCUUUAUGCGUAAAAUGGAUUCGUCUGCCCAAGGAUGGGUCUGCGGCCUAUCAGGUAGUAGUGGGUGUAAAGUACCUACUAGCCUACGACGGGUACGGGUUGUGAGAGCAAGAGCCCGGAGAUGGAUUCUGAGACAUGAAUCCAGGCCCUACGGGGCGCAGCAGGCGCGAAAACUUUACAAUGCGGGAAACCGUGAUAAGGGGACACCGAGUGCCAGCAUCCUAUGCUGGCUGUCCGGGUGUGUAAAAUACACCUGUUAGCAAGGGCCGGGCAAGACCGGUGCCAGCCGCCGCGGUAACACCGGCGGCCCGAGUGGUGAUCGUGAUUAUUGGGUCUAAAGGGUCCGUAGCCGGUUUGGUCAGUCCUCCGGGAAAUCUGACAGCUUAACUGUUAGGCUUUCGGAGGAUACUGCCAGACUUGGAACCGGGAGAGGUAAGAGGUACUACAGGGGUAGGAGUGAAAUCUUGUAAUCCCUGUGGGACCACCUGUGGCGAAGGCGUCUUACCAGAACGGGUUCGACGGUGAGAGACGAAAGCUGGGGGCACGAACCGGAUUAGAUACCCGGGUAGUCCCAGCCGUAAACGAUGCUCGCUAGGUGUCAGGCAUGGCGCGACCGUGUCUGGUGCCGCAGGGAAGCCGUGAAGCGAGCCACCUGGGAAGUACGGCCGCAAGGCUGA
rnacentral:rRNA from 1 species